UAUAAGUGAUGGCGACCGGCGCACGGGUGAGUAACACGUAUCCAACCUGCCGAUAACUCGGGGAUAGCCUUUCGAAAGAAAGAUUAAUACCCGAUGGUAUAAUAAAACCGCAUGGUUUAAUUAUUAAAGAAUUUCGGUUAUCGAUGGGGAUGCGUUCCAUUAGGCAGUUGGUGAGGUAACGGCUCACCAAAUCUUCGAUGGAUAGGGGUUCUGAGAGGAAGGUCCCCCACAUUGGAACUGAGACACGGUCCAA
rnacentral:rRNA from 1 species